UAUUGUAUUAUUUGCGGCAUUCUACACCAGGAAUAUCUGAAAAUGCGCGUAAAAAAAGUGCACAUACCUUGUAUUAGAGACCUGGAUGAAAGGUUCUCUUAAUUAAGGUUUUACUUUCAGGUUGAACGUCUGCUAACCGCCAGAGAGGAGAGUAUAGCAGAGGCCCGGAGGAUGGCAGAAACCUCUGCCAGACUUAGAGAUAUUCUCAGAAAGCAGAAUUUGAGUUCUCUAAUGAACGAUGAACUUUGCUGGAAAUUUUCAAGAAAAUGAAUUUUUUUGUUUUGAUAUAAAGUUUUUCAACAAAUAUAUGUCACCGCAUGUU